rnacentral:misc_RNA from 1 species
AAGCAAAGCAACUCGCGAACACGUAGUCAACACUCGGGGAUUCGAGCGCGUCCUCCCCGGGGGACGCCCUUUCUCCCCAAAGUCGGGGCGGCCCGGAGCUCGUUGCUCGCAGGCGGCGCGAUUGUCGCGAGCUAACGGCCUCCGAGCCUUCCCGACGCAACAAAAAACCGGCGCGGAAUGCGCCAAGGAAUAUGAAAGAGAGUGCGCUCUUCCGGCGUCAGCUCGCGCUGCGCUCGGACGGGCGUCGUCUUCUUGAUGAGUUUAUAAUGACUCUCGGCAACGGAUAUCUCGGCUCUUACAUCGAUGAAGAACGUAGCAAAAUGCGAUACUUGGUGUGAAUUGCAGAAUCCCGUGAACCAUCGAGUCUUUGAACGCAAGUUGCGCCCGAAKCCAUCUGGUUGAGGGCACGUCUGCCUGGGUGUCACGUACGCGUGCCUCCCGCGAACCUUCCCCUUUAUGCGGAMGAAUGGUCUCGCGGGAGCAGAUGUUGGUAUCCCGUGCCUGUUUCGCGCGGCUUGCCUAAAAACGGAGAUCCGGCGACGAAACGUCGCGUCUAGUGGUGGUUGAUGAGGCCUAACGGCCGAACCAGUUCGCGGCGCGAUCGUUUGUCGCAAGAAAGUCUCGGACGACACCUCGGACGCCCCCUAACGGGCGUGCCACUGUCGCGACCCCAGGUCAGGCGGGACUACCCGCUGA